CGACGUUACAUCAGUUGAUGGCGGUCAGUCGUUGUGAAACUUGUAUGUAUGAUGUUGCAUCACUUGAUGGACAUAGAUCGCAGUGUGGAAAAAUUUUGGGUUUAUGUUGGCUGUCCCUUAUUGGCUAAAUGUCGUCAGCCAUCUUCGCGAUAAUCAACGUAACGACCGCUGACCACUGUUUCAUCCUGCUCACCGAGUACAGAAAAUUGAACUGAAAUUUAUCUAUUUACACUUGCCUCUUCCAUUGGUGACGUCGCAUUGACCGUACGCAUCACAUGAUCUUUCGAGCGACAACCUUUAUAAAAUGAAAUCCCGUGAAAAUGUGUAGCAAACAUCGUCUGCCAC